rnacentral:rRNA from 1 species
CAGCGCCACGAGUGGGGGUCACGAUUAUUGGGCCUAAAGCGUCCGUAGCCGGUUCAGCAAAUCCUUUGUGAAAUCGUUGGGCUCAACCCAACGGCGUGCAGGGGACACUACUGAACUAGGGACCGGGAGGGGUUGGAGGUAUUUCUGAGGGAGCGGUAAAAUGCUAUAAUCUCAGGAGGACCACCUGUGGCGAAGGCGUCCAACCAGAACGGAUCCGACGGUGAGGGACGAAAGCUAGGGGAGCAAUCCGGAUUAGAUACCCGAGUAGUCC